rnacentral:rRNA from 1 species
GACGUAGGGCGCGAGCGUUGUCCGGAUUUAUUGGGCGUAAAGAGCUCGUAGGCGGUGUGUCGCGUCGGCCCGUGAAAACCUGCAGCUUAACUGUGGGCUUGCGGUCGAUACGGGCAUCACUGGAGUUCGGCAGGGGAGACUGGAAUUCCUGGUGUAGCGGUGAAAUGCGCAGAUAUCAGGAGGAACACCGGUGGCGAAGGCGGGUCUCUGGGCCGAUACUGACGCUGAGGAGCGAAAGCGUGGGGAGCGAACAGG